GAUCCUGGCAUGCGGAACAUUAGCUAGUUGGUAAGGUAAUGGCUUACCAAGGCUACGAUGUUUAGGGGAUCUGAGAGGAUGGCCCCCCACACUGGUACUGAGACACGGACCAGACUCCUACGGGAGGCAGCAGUAAGGAAUAUUGGACAAUGGACGCAAGUCUGAUCCAGCCAUUCCGCGUGCAGGAUGAAGGCCCUCGGGUUGUAAACUGCUUUGUACGGAACGAAAAGGUUUCUAUUAAUACUAGGAGCUCAUGACGGUACCGUAAGAAUAAGCACCGGCUAACUACGUG
rnacentral:rRNA from 1 species